rnacentral:tRNA from 1 species
AGUCGUAUGGUCUAAUGGUUAUGAUUUCUCGUUCACAGCAUAUGUGUACCUUGUCCCGAGAAGGUUCCGUGUUCGAUCCACGGUACGACUA